UGGGGAAUAUUGGACAAUGGGCGAAAGCCUGAUCCAGCAAUGCCGCGUGUGUGAAGAAGGUCUUCGGAUUGUAAAGCACUUUCAGCGGGGAGGAAGGCGGUGAGGUUAAUAACCAGAAAGUCACGGCUAACUACGUGCCAG
rnacentral:rRNA from 1 species